GAUGAACGCUGGCGGCGUGCCUAAUACAUGCAAGUCGAGCGAACAGACGAGGAGCUUGCUCCUCUGACGUUAGCGGCGGACGGGUGAGUAACACGUGGAUAACCUACCUAUAAGACUGGGAUAACUUCGGGAAACCGGAGCUAAUACCGGAUAAUAUAUUGAACCGCAUGGUUCAAUAGUGAAAGACGGUUUUGCUGUCACUUAUAGAUAGAUCCGCGCCGCAUUAGCUAGUUGGUAAGGUAACGGCUUGCCAAGGCAACGAUGCGUAGCCGACCUGAGAGGGUGAUCGGCCACACUGGAACUGAGACACGGUCCAGACUCCUACGGGAGGCAGCAGUAGGGAAUCUUCCGCAAUGGGCGAAAGCCUGACGGAGCAACGCCGCGUGAGUGAUGAAGGUCUUCGGAUCGUAAAACUCUGUUAUUAGGGAAGAACAAAUGUGUAAGUAACUAUGCACGUCUUGACGGUACCUAAUCAGAAAGCCACGGCUAACUACGUG
rnacentral:rRNA from 1 species